GGAGGGUGCAAGCGUUAUCCGGAUUCACUGGGUUUAAAGGGUGCGUAGGAGGGCAGGUAAGUCAGUGGUGAAAUCUCCAAGCUUAACUUGGAAACUGCCGUUGAUACUAUCUGUCUUGAAUACCGUGGAGGUGAGCGGAAUAUGUCAUGUAGCGGUGAAAUGCUUAGAUAUGACAUAGAACACCAAUUGCGAAGGCAGCUCGCUACACGAAUAUUGACUCUGAGGCACGAAAGCGUGGGGAUCAAACAGGAUUAGAUACCCUGGUAGUCCACGCCCUAAACGAUGGAUACUCGACAUACGCGAUACACAGUGUGUGUCUGAGCGAAAGCAUUAAGUAUCCCACCUGGGAAGUACGACCGCAAGGUUG
rnacentral:rRNA from 1 species